GUCCUAAAUGACUCUCGGCAACGGAUAUCUCGGCUCUCGCAUCGAUGAAAAACGUAGCGAAAUGCGAUACUUGGUGUGAAUUGCAGAAUCCCGUGAACCAUCGAGUCUUUGAACGCAAGUUGCGCCCGAAGCCAUCAGGCCGAGGGCACGCCUGCCUGGGUGUCACCGA
rnacentral:rRNA from 1 species